UACGAAGGGGGCUAGCGUUGUUCGGAAUUACUGGGCGUAAAGCGCACGUAGGCGGAUACUUAAGUCAGGGGUGAAAUCCCGGGGCUCAACCCCGGAACUGCCUUUGAUACUGGGUAUCUCGAGUCCGGAAGAGGUGAGUGGAAUUCCGAGUGUAGAGGUGAAAUUCGUAGAUAUUCGGAGGAACACCAGUGGCGAAGGCGGCUCACUGGUCCGGUACUGACGAUCAGGUGCGAAAGCGUGGGGAGCAAACAGG
rnacentral:rRNA from 1 species